rnacentral:lncRNA from 1 species
AGGAAGCUACAUCGAUCCUUCGUGUUUUGUUUUGUUUGCCUUCAAAUUUUUGGCAUUUUCGAAACUCACAAAUACCAAAACAACAUUUCUUUCUUUUCGCUGCUUCUUCUUCGUCAAAUAAUGGGAUCUCAAAACACUUGGAUCAAUGAAGCAUUGAUGGAUAUUGCUUGUUUCUAGUAGCUCGGUUUCGUUUCUCAAGGUCUUCGUUGAUUGUAGUGAUUUAAAAUUUGGUUACUUUCUAGACUCUUUAUCACCG